CCCUUAGAUGUUCUGGGCCGCACGCGUGCUACACUGACCGGCGCAACAAGUUUCUUUCCUUGGCUCGAUAGGCCUGGGUAAUCUUUGAACGCCGGUCGUGAUGGGGAUAGAUCCUUGCAAUUUUUGAUCUUCAACGAGGAAUUCCUAGUAAAUGCGAGUCAUCAUCUCGCGUUGAUUACGUCCCUGCCCUUUGUACACACCGCCCGUCGCACCUACCGAUUGAAUGGUCCGGUGAAGCCUCGGGAUUGCGAAUGCUUCGUGCGGACGCGAGAACUUGGCUAAGCCUUACCAUUUAGAGGAAGGUGAAGUCGUAACA
rnacentral:rRNA from 1 species